CAGGGAUUGGCCCGGUUUGGCAGAGCGCCGCACCCGGACCGCGAAAGCCGAAGGGUCGCCCCCUUAUCCCUGACCA
rnacentral:tRNA from 1 species